GACUACCGGAAGAUAAAAAGCCAGAACAGAAACGGGGAAUUUGAACUGAUGCAUGUGGAUGAAUUUAUUGAUGAACUACUCCAUGAGGAACGCGUGUGUGAUAUCAUUCUGCCUCGAUUACAGAAACGGUAUGUUCUGGAAGAAGCUGAGCAACUCGAACCUCGUGUUAGUGCUUUGGAAGAAGACAUGGAUGAUGUGGAGUCGAGUGAGGAGGAGGAGGAGGAAGAUGAAAAA